GACGCGUUUCACGAUGAGCAGAGAUCAGCAGUUUGUCAUUUGCUCUAGCACAGAGAGCUCUCAGGCCGGAGAGAAAGGUGUCGAAUUUGAAAUUUUGGGGAUUCUGGAGAUCCAGAGAAUUUGGAGUUCUGGGAAAUGGAAUCAGAAUUGGAAUCGAGGGAAAAUAACUGUUGCCUCGUGCUAAACCGCCGAUGUAAAACACGAGGAUGCGUGUGCUGACCGCACACAUCCGGACGAAUGUCUUAUCGACAUGGGGUCGUGUGCACACGUGUGACGAGAAACUGUCCGCACCAGGUUCGCUUGCAGGGCGCACAGUUCAAGAGAAGGUCUUGAUGAUGUCACGGAGACUCGUAUAGGUUCCAACUAUGAGACCAAGGACCGCGAAAAGUACCAGCGACAUGUUCUUUGCUAUCAUUAUCGCCUUUCCUGUGCGGUCGUGCACAUGCCAGAAUGUGCAGAUUUGAAUGAGAGCGGGGAAUGCCAGGCCCAAACCAGAGAGACACAGAGCACCGAACAGGGAUAUAAACAGAUCUAGUUGCGGAAUCGCCACGGCUAACAGGACUGAAAUAUACGAAAGGAAAAGAGAUUAUAGCAUUAAUUCUUCUUACUAUUAUCGUUUGGAAAAAAUUUGUACAGGUGUAGCAAGUGAUUAGUCAAAGUUGAGAUGGACAAAGGGAUUGUAACUUUGAUGUCCUUUUACAAUUUAUUAUUUAGGGAAAUUUGUAGAGAAGCGAUUAGAUAAAGUUAGGAUUGGAGAGAGGAUGAGUACAGUUUUAGUAUGAUCAGACUAAUUAUUUUGUGGAGUGAAAGGAUCGAUAAGAUUAUUUUUAUCGUUCAGAAGAUUUUGUAGAACAAUUUUAGUCGAUUAAUCAAGAUUACGAUGGGAGUAGGGGUAAUCCAAGUUUUAAUAUGAUCAGACUAAUUAUUUUGUGGAGUGAGAGGAUCGAUAAGAUUAUGUUUGUCAUUUAGAGGACUUUGUAGAGACGAUUAAUCAGCAUUACGAUGGGAGUAGGGAUAAUUAAAGUUAUUGAUAUGAUUGGAGUAAUUGUUUUGUGAAGUUAAGAGGUCGAUAACAUUAUUUUUAUUAUUUAGAAAAUUUUGUAGAAACAUCUAAUCGGUUAGUUAACGACAGGGUGGGAUAAAGUAUGAUUAAAGUUUUAGUGUACUCGGUCAGAGUAAUUAUUGUGUAAAAUUAACAGAUUGAUGAUCUCAUUUUUAUUAGAAUUGAAUUGUUAGGAAAUUUUACUAUACUCGGAUCGUGUAAAGAUAGAAUAACAAAUAAAGUUUUAGUUUUGCAUUUAGCUAAUCGUUUCAGUUUCUAAAUAAAACUCUGUUCUGCAGGGAAUUUGAAUUAUCAGAAGCAAGUAAGAGGCAAACAAGACUUUCAGCGAGUUAGAUUUAGAUUCGAUUAAGCCUUUGGAAUAAUUACUCCGAGUUAGAAGAGACCAAGUCACAGGUCAGGGAGAAUCUAAAGCAGUUAUGUAUAUUUGUGGAACAGUUAGUUUUAACCAGUUUGAAUUAAACGCGUGUAAGCCUGCACAAUUAAAGCCAGGAAAAGAUAUAAAAUCAAUUACUUCCAUAUCAAUUCUUCCAGCUAAAAUAACAAAGUUAAUGAUCAAUAGAUUACACAGAUAGAGGCAAAACUACGUCACAUAAAUUAGGGUCAAAAAUCAAGUUCCCUUCAAAGAGAAAUGUUUCUUUACUUAUUAGAAGAACAAAUUCAGCAUUUAAAUAGAAUCAAAUAUAACACAUUCCUCUAUUAUUAAAAGGAAAAUUCGUGGAAUAACUACAGAAAGCUGUACAUUCAAGAACUACACCAACUUAAAUUUCCAAUUCUAAUUAAUCCUCAAUUCCAAUAAAUUGUAAUCAAUUCACUCUACAGUUAAUUAAAUUCUCACUUAAUCAUAUUCCAAACUAAAACUCAAAAUAUAACAAGACCAAUCAAUCAUAAAUAUAAUAAUAACCAAGUACUAACAAACCAAACAAUCAGAAGCAGAACGAAACUAUGUAUCUAUUAAUCACUAUCAAAAAUCAAAAAUCCUUUACGAAAGUAUAUUCUCAUCGCUACAGCAAACAAUUCAAAACCUUUCCGUAGGCUAAUCGCACGAAGGCUAUUGACGCAUUGACGUCAACGUUACAAGGAAUUGAGCUCGGUUAUCGUACAAGGAAAAAUGUUUUGGUACUUGAGCAAUAUACGAUAUGAGCAACUGAAUACUAUAUCAACAACGGCCAUCGUCCGACCUGGCUCGAAUUGACGUCACGUUGAGUGAAGGACUCGAAACAUUCACUUACACGUGAAAAGGACGAGCGAAGUCCUCAAGGCGUACUCCCACAACAGCUUAUGCGAAUUCUUCUCAAGAUUCGGUGCGAGGUAAUCCUUCCAGAUGAUAUCGAUCGCCACGUAGCAUUGAAUCGGAUGAGUGAAGAAGAUGGCUAUAGCCAAUAAGAUUUGAACACUUUUGGCGAGGGCUAAAGGUUCGUCCAAGUUGAAGGUGAUGCUACCUUUGAUGCCACUGCCAUAACGAAUGUAACCAAAGAAACCUAGUCCUGUAUAGAGAGCUACGAUAACGCCCAUUCCAAUGUUUAGGACGCCGAACGUACGCAUGAACGUCUUUGGCUUCUUCAUUUCGUUCUCCAAUGGCAUUACCUGCAACAAGACAGAAGAAGGUUCGACAAUGUGGUUGCAGUUUAAAGGCGUUUGUAGAUAUGGAAAUAUUUGAGAUUUGGAAAAUUUAGCUUCUGGCUAAGGAAAUUUUGUAAGUUCUGUAUAUUGGAAUGUUCUAGUAUCGAGUUCUUAAGUAUUCAAAUUUCUGAGCUGCCAAGUUUUCCAACUUGCAUAUUUUCAAAUACGUAAACUCUCCAAUUCCAAAAUUUUCUAAUUAUCUAAAUGUCCGAAUUCCUAAAUUUUCGAGUAUUCCAAUUUCCAAAUUAUCGAAUUUUCGAACUUCCACUUACAUUCCAACGAACGUUCAAGUAUCUGGUUUUGCAAAUCUGCGAAUAUUCGAACUCUCUAAACUUCUAAGCUUUGGAAUUUUGUAAUUCUUGGUCUCUCGAAUUUCCAAAUGUUUAAAUCUUUAAGUUGUUUAGUUUCGAAUCUCGAGAUUUUCAGAUCUUCGGAUUUCUCAUAAUUUCGAUUUCCAAAUUUUCAAAUAUUGAAAUACCGAACGAAUACUCACCACGCCAAUAGCUUCGAGGGCGAAUAGCACAGUGCCAAAAUAAAGAGGGAAAUUCUCAACAUUUCCAAUCACUUCUCGAUUCUCGAACGACAAAGGCUCCCUGAAGAUGUAGUACAAUAUUAUGCUAAAGCUGACGAACGUAAUGAAAUUAGCGACCGUCGAACACGGCGCCAGGAACUUCAGAUUUCUGAUCCAAUUGACCAAAAUUAAAGGUAUCAAAAUUGCCAACAUAUACAACCUGACAUCAAUGUCAGAAACGUAUGUUUUCAAUGCCUGAAAACAAAAAGAGAAACAAUGUUGGUUAAAAUAAAAAAUCAACGUAUUAAAAAUGGAAUUAAUUUGAUAUUACGAAUGAUAACAUGAGAAAUGUUGAUAUGAAUAUAAACGGUUAAAAAUGCAAUGGAAGUUAGUUGUAUGUUACCAGAGAUGAUAGAAAUGAUUUUUCAAAUUUCUUCGUUCGCAAAUUAUAUUUCACAACGCAGAGAAAAUUUUUUAUUUCUCAGUUUUAUUUCACAUAUACGUCGUAUAAAAUUAAAAAAAAAAUAUCGGCUAAUCGUCUAUAUACAACGUAUACGUAUUUUGACUUGUUAUCGAUCUUUUACAUACUCACGAAAGAUCUGAGAUCAUAAGAAGAAAGCAAGAACUUACAUAAUUCAUCUUCCUAUUUUUCUAAAAUCUCGGAAGCUGGAUUGAAAAAUCGAUUUACAAUCUAAUAUCACGAAGAUAUUCAUGUUAUUUUGAUUCAGAGUAUUAAAACCCAAGUAAUUCAGUAUGGAAA